UACGUAGGGGGCGAGCGUUGUCCGAAGUUACUGGGCGUAAAGAGCGCGUAGGCGGGUCUUUAAGUGAGGGGUGAAAGGUUCAGGGCUCAACCCGGACACUGCCUUUCAUACUGGGGACCUUGAGUGCGGGAGGGGCGAGUGGAAUGGUCGGUGUAGCGGUGAAAUGCGUAGAUAUCGAUCGGAACACCCAUGGCGAAGGCAGCUCGCUGGCCUGCAACUGACGCUGAGGCGCGAAAGCGUGGGGAGCAAACAGG
rnacentral:rRNA from 1 species